UCUUAUGAAGGAGCAAAAAAAGUAGUUUUUGAGAUGGAAUCUUCUUCUGGUGAAGAUGCUGUGAA
rnacentral:pre_miRNA from 1 species